GACGAACGCUGGCGGCGUGCUUAACACAUGCAAGUCGAACGGAAAGGCCCUGCUUUUGUGGGGUGCUCGAGUGGCGAACGGGUGAGUAACACGUGAGUAACCUGCCCUUGACUUUGGGAUAACUUCAGGCAACUGGGGCUAAUACCGGAUAGGAGCUCCUGCUGCAUGGUGGGGGUUGGAAAGUUUCGGCGGUUGUGGAUGGACGCGCGGCUUAUCAGCUUGUUGGUGGGGUAGUGGCUUACCAAGGCUUUGGCGGGUAGCCGGCAUGAGAGGGUGACCGGCGACAUUGGGACUGAGAUACGGACCAGACUCGAACGGGAGGCAGCGGGGGGGAAUAUUGCACAAUGGGCGGAAGCGUGAGGCAGAGACGCUGCGUGCGGGAUGACGGCCUUCGGGUUGUAAACCGCUUUAGCCUGUGACGAAGCGUGAGUGACGGUAAUGGGUAAAGAAGCACCGGCUAACUACGUG
rnacentral:rRNA from 1 species